UUUUGUUAUAUUCUAAAAUAUUUAGUUUGAAACAAGAUAAAAAAACGAUAAUCAAAAAUUAUAAUGACAGUAAUUUCAUUGUAUUUGAAUGGGAAACGAGAAAUAAAGAUAAAGAUAGGGAAAUGGCCUAUGGUAGAAUAAUGGAGCAACAGGAAAAUUUUUUGGUAACAUUAGCCAUAUCCCCAGGACAUGAAAUGAGAGAUAAUAAAAGAGUUUUAAUAAUUUGUGGAAGUAACGUUACUAUAGACUUUAAAAAUGCUACAUCUAAUUUGGAUAAAAACAAAGUCAACAUUUUAAUGCGACAUAUCCCAAAAAUCAAUGGAUGUUCUUCAUGAUAUAUCCCGAUAUUAUCUAUUAUAAAUAAAUAAAAUUUCA